rnacentral:rRNA from 1 species
GACGAACGCUGGCGGCGUGCUUAACACAUGCAAGUCGAACGGGCCUUGUCCCCUUUUUUUUUGGGGGUGGGGUUAGUGGCGAACGGGUGAGUAACACGUGAGUAACCUGCCCCUCACUUCUGGAUAACCGCUUGAAAGGGUGGCUAAUACGGGGUGUUCUGGCCUGCUCGCAUGGGUGGGUUUGGAAAGAUUCGACCGGUUUUGGUUGUUUUGGUGGGGGAUGGGCUCGCGGCCUAUCAGCUUGUUGGUGGGGUGAUGGCCUGCCAAGGCUUUGACGGGUAGCCGGCCUGAGAGGGUGGGCGGUCACACUGGGACUGAGACACGGCCCAGACUCCUACGGGAGGCAGCAGUGGGGAAUAUUGCACAAUGGGCGCAAGCCUGAUGCAGCGACGCCGCGGGAGGGAUGGAGGCCUUCGGGUUGUGAACCUCUUUCGCCAGUGAAGAAGGUCCUGCUCUUUGUGGUGGGGUUGACGGUAGCUGGGUUAAUGAAGCGCCGGCUAACUACGU